GCCCGCUCAUGGAGAGCUUCCCUUCCCAUCUCAUGGAGACGGAGGACUUCUUCUAACCGGCGCUCUCCUCGGUUUCUCUUCUCUCGGUGAUUUUUGCUUUCUUGCUUGGGGACCCAAUAAGCCAAGUAAUUCUGCUUCUUCUCUCGGUUUCGCGGGAGUAAGGCGUUUCUUGGUUUUCCUUUCCUGAGAUGGGUCUGAGAAAGAGAAACGCCAUGGUUGGUGAGGCAGCCAUGUUCGCCACAUCUUGGUAGCCCUCACUCGGCAUUGGCAUCCUCUCGUUCUUGGACUUGAAGUUAACUCAGCCAUGAGGAAGCAUGGGUGGCAGCUGCCGUACCACCCUCUCUAGGUGGUUGCGAUAGCCGUGUUCUCGGCACUGGGGUUCACCUUCUACGUCUUCUUUGUGCCGUUCGUGGGGACGAAGCCGUUCCAGAUUGUGGCCAUGGCUAUCUACACUCCAUUGAUUACAUGUGUUGUUGUGUUAUACAUAUGGUGUGCGGCAACAAAUCCUGGAGACCCAGGCAUUUUCGAUUCAACGAAGAAUUUGAAGUUAGAUAAGAAUGAAAAGCACUCCUAUGUGAAUUCGGAUCAGGGGAUUAAUCAUUGAGAAGGCCAUUAAGUGAGACUUUUGGUACUGCUGAUAACAGUGAGAAGCUGAGCAGCAUGCUUGAGAGGAACAAUUCGCCUUCUUGGCCCAGAUUUUCUGGAAUUAUUUCCCUGGUUUGUCUCCCAUUCUCUUGCCUUUGCAAACGGUGCCUCCAUUCAGACAGUCUAUCUUCAGAACACAAAAUGUGUGAAGAAGGCAUGUUUUUCUGCAGCUUAUGCGAAGCAGAGUUUUCCUUGCAGGUUAAAUCCCAUCCAUUAAAAAAUGUUUAAUCAACUUGAGUUAUCAGGCUUCUCAUGUUUCAGUGAAUUAAGGAGAG